rnacentral:rRNA from 1 species
UGCGUAGGCGGAUUAAUAAGUCAGUGGUGAAAUCUUUCGGCUCAACCGAGAAACUGCCAUUGAUACUGUUAAUCUUGAGUUCGGUUGAGGUAGGCGGAAUGUGUAAUGUAGCGGUGAAAUGCUUAGAUAUUACACAGAACACCAAUUGCGUAGGCAGCUUACUAUGCCGACACUGACGCUGAGGCACGAAAGCGUGGGGAGCGAACAGGAUUAGAUACCCUGGUAGUCC